rnacentral:rRNA from 1 species
UACGAAGGGGGCUAGCGUUGUUCGGAAUCACUGGGCGUAAAGCGCACGUAGGCGGAUUUUUAAGUCAGGGGUGAAAUCCCGAGGCUCAACCUCGGAACUGCCUUUGAUACUGGAGAUCUUGAGUCCGGAAGAGGUAAGUGGAACUGCGAGUGUAGAGGUGAAAUUCGUAGAUAUUGGGAAGAACACCGGUGGCGAAGGCGGCGACCUGGUCCUUUACUGACGCUGAGGCGCGAAAGCGUGGGGAGCAAACAGG